rnacentral:lncRNA from 1 species
UUUUGGGUCGUUUCGCAAACUUCAUCUUCUCCAUCUCUUUAACUUUCUUCCAUCUUUUGAUUAUCUUUUUCCAUAUUUUGAAUUUCUUCUCUCCUCAGUUAUUUCAGUUUCCUCUCACCUGGUUUUUCUCUCUAUGAAUCUCACAGAUCCUAUUCUAAGAAGAAACCUGGUUUUCCAUCUCUUGAAAUCCUCUCUGAACCGUUACUUCAAUUUGCCAAACCAUCAACACUUUUCUUGCAGUUAGUUUCUUUCUCCCAAUCCACAGAUCCAAAUCUCGACUUUGUUAACGAGAUCGAUCGAUUGAAAGAGACGGACAACAAGAAGAAAGAUGACAUACAGCAAGAGAGAUUUGGGCACAGCUAUGGGAAUUGGAAAGAUCCCUAAGCACCAAGUACAUGAAUGGUUGAAGGCAGUAAGUAAAAUUGGAGGAAAAGCUGGUUACCUAAAAGAUGGGUACAAAAAGGGUAAGAUACCUAUCAGAGGUUGGUGCACAAAUAGGUGGCCUCCCUACAGUAUUAGGGCAGAAUUAGUGAAGCGGAUUUCCUCUGAAUUGAUGCAACCCCAUGUCAAGUUUGUCCUUAAGAUGUGUGAAGAUUUGCCGCUUGCGAUUAUAGUUGUCUGCCUAAUUAAAUUGCAUUGAUACAAUUGUGGUGAUAGAGAACGCGACGAGCUGACUGAGGGGGCUGCAAGUCUCUAAGGUAUGAUUAAAUGAGAAAUUAUCUAUUUGAAAUUCAGUUCGGAUAAAGCUUUGUUUCUUAUGUAUCCAGAGGACUAAUUGCUUAUUUCCUGAGGAUUAAUGUGAAAAUAGACGCAAUGCUUAGGAAGACACAAUAAACAUGCUUUAGUUAGAAACCUGAAAAUCAUGUGCAUUUUAAUAAGUUAUUUCAUAGAAAUAUAAUGAAAAAAUAUGACACGACGAGAUAAUUGGUGUCUAAGUAUUGAAGAUUAAUGAGAGGAUGAAGGAAUUGUUGUUGGGGGUAAUAUCUUUUGGGUUUGGAUGUGUUCCCAAGUUCUCAAUACAUUGUCGGUUUAUUGAGGGAGAUAUUAGAAGAUAUGAAGUGCCUACGAAAUAAAGAAGUAAAAGGUUUUUCAUUGAAUGUCGAAUUCAACAAACUUAUUAUGUUGCUACUACAACGCAAUUGUUCAAUUAGCCAAUUUCUUUGAAGUUUGAAAGCCCUUUGAAUACCUAGCCUGAUUCAAAUGAGUGUGAGAUGUCUCCAACGUUCCUUAUCCCCCUUAUACGAGUUGACAUUUAUAUAGAAAUUUCAAAUAAAUGAUGAAUGGUUCAAACCAUUAGAGAUGAGCACACGACAUUUAGAGAUCAACAAUUCACUAUUACCAUCAGUGGUUUAAUUCUCCUGGAAGAAACUUGAAAUACAAAAUUUACCUAUUAUCAGUUCAUUUAAGAAGCUGAAGUGUUCAAAAGUUUGCAAAAUACACAUAUUUCUGGUAUCUGUAAGGAAUGAAAGGAGAUGAUAUAAAAUGGAGAUGGAAGAUGAUAUAUCUCUAGCUAAGAAAAUUGAGGAUUCGAACUAUGCGAUCUCCCCAAAUCGGAUAUUGCAGGUGAAUGGAUGUUAUAUGGAACUCUGUCUUGAAUUGGCUGCCGAAGGUGACUAUACUGGAAUACCCAUGGUUAAAGAAGCUCCCUUUUGAUCUAGGCUCUUGUUGUCGGUAUUCUAGAAUGACUAGCUAUUUAUUUACAGAGAAAAUGGUGGGAAGGAGAAGGCCAGAACAAUAAUUCACCCAAAUUCCUGAGAACUUAAAGAAUGAGGAAGAAGGUGAGACUUAGUCUGACUUCAUUAAGAAGAUGAGGUGAAUUGGACUUCAUUCACAGGAGGAAGAGAAAGAGUCUGUUUAGCAAGAACUUAUGAUCUGGGAAAGCACGGUGCUUGCGGCCAAAAUAUGUUUUAAAAUGAAAUGUCGAUUAUGACUUCUGAAGGAGUUGUGCACUGCUAAUGAAUGUAUAGCUCAAUGAUUCCUUUUUUUUUCACCACCUACUUUUAGUAAUAAAUAACUGUCUUUUUAUUGAGGUAUAAAUUACAACACCAUGGUGCUUAGAAGCAAUGGAGUAUAACACAAUCUAUGGAGUAGUGAUUGAAACUCCUCCAAGUUACUCGGAUUCGGCUCCUUGCCAUGUGGAUGUGCAACGCGGGUUAUUUAAGAAAUUUUAAAAAUAUAUUAAAUGGUUCAAUCAAUGUCUAACUAUUAUAUGUAAU